GUUCGUUAGUGGCGCAAAUGUCGAUAUGUUCGCUAAAUGCUAUUUUCAUGUAUUCCCAAAUACAUAAAAAUAGCAUUUAGUGAACACAUCGACAUUUGCGCCACUAACGAACAAC
rnacentral:pre_miRNA from 1 species